UCAACACCCAGUGAUGCGGCAGCAGGUGGGUUGAUGACUGAUGUUAACUGUAAAAUUAUCUACUUGACUGCUACUCUUCUAGUUAUUUGGCGACGCAGACCAGCAGAAGUAACAGUUGUUGAAUACAGCUGGUGUCCUGGUUGUUGUAUACUGCCACCUAGAGGUCGGACCGUAUGGGGCCGCAAUGAAUAUCUCCAGCAAAGUGAGCAGAAAAGCAGGACCGUGAUAUUCCUGGAUCCUGACGGCAUCCAAAACCACCGAGCCGACAUCAAAGGAGUCGGAGCUGGGGCACAACGUUCUCUCCCACAGAGAGCCAAAACUACACGUUUGACCCAGUUUUCUUUCACUCAUCAGGACCCACUUUUGUGAAGCGUCUUUUCAAAGGAACAUCACAGCAAAGUGGGCCGACAACAGCCGCAACUUAAAAGACACAUUCUGAAGGGAUAAAUGCACAAGAGGCCACAUCAAGUCCUUUGAUUUGCGAUUGCCCACACCUCUUAUAUAGAUUAGAUUCAGAGUUUUGUCAUUCAACCACAUAUUUUUCCACCUCUCCCACCAUUUCCUUUCAUCUGCUCUCUCAUCUAUCUAGUCAUUGCGCAGAGCCCUAACCAAUGUCUCUUUCCUACUCCUCCAUCUAAUUAUAUUAUCUCUCCCUUUCACUGUUUCUCCACUGGUUUCCUGUAUGUUGCCUUCAUAUUCGAAUGAGUUCAGUAAUGUUGAAGCGAAUGAGAACAAGAAUCUGAUUUCAAAGGGAACUGCUGACUUGUGUUUUGAAAGCUAUAAUUAUUCAGGUCUGGCUUUAUUCCUCUCACUUCCUCUGAAUUCAAAGUGAUCCAUUUGUACAGUGAGACUUGCUUAUGCAAUUAGAAGCACAUGUGUAGAACAUGCCAUUACACAUUGCACUCACCUAAUUAUCGCCUUUGUUGACAGAUUAUAAAAUUGCAAUCAACAGCUGAUAUGCUGAUAUAAUAUAGAGCAUCAAUAUUUUACAUCCAAGCUGUGAUCAUAGGAGGGAUGUUACUGUACAUGCUGCUGUCAAAGUGCUUCCAAUUAUUGUUCUGCAGUAGUAACAGGAGCACAUGUUGGGAAAAGACAUUAAAUAUUCCUUCUCAUUAUCCAGACCCCUUUCGGUAUGUGCGCAACCACAAGGAGAAAUUGAGACUAAUCAUAAAACUUCUCUACAUUGUUAGCUCCGGCCAAUUUAAGUGAUAUCAAAAAUAGUACUGAGUAGCAUAAAACAAAGAAAAGACAAAUCACCCACCUUCUCAAACCAGGAUGUGGGUUCCUCGUUUACAUUUGACACAUUUGUCUACAAAUAGCUCUGUACACAGUUUUAUGGUUGGUGUGUGGGCUGUCGGAGAGGAUUUGACUGUAAAACCAUCUGUGGGAGCAGCUUAAAUGUUUUCACCCAAAUCAACUGCUCAUCAGUGAGCAGGGUGGGCGACGCAGACUGAAUCCUGAAAAUGUCAACAUGCAAGGUGUGACUUACAUAUUUUAACCUUGAUACUCUGAGAGAAACAGAAAGUGGCACUCUGCUCUCUGUGUGCUGACACCCGUCUACACACAGACAAAGAGUGAAGAGCUGGUGAAAAGACAGAUGUCUACGCUCAGAAAAAGAGCGAAGAGCUGUGGGAGAUACAGUGGAACAUUUGAGAGGCUUGGUAUUUUCUGCACCGUAAUCUUGUUUGGGGCUGGUGUUGGAUGACGUGGAGGCACUCUCCCUGCUGAGCUGCAUUAGGGAGCUUGUGGUUUGAGUUUAGCUUUUCUGUUGGGGUGGACCUCCUCUUCAUAUUUUAGCACACACACACACACACACAGUCAUAAACAUACAGGGACAAAAACACCUUUUUUGGAACUGGAAUUUUGGAAAGAGCCAGACAACUGUCUCCCUCUGUCUCCAGUUUUCAUACUUAACAUACAGACUUAAUUAGCAGAUAAGGGAAUUAGUGGAUUUCCCAAAAUGUUGAAUUACUCCUUUAUGUUUAGUGUCUUUAGGCCAUGUCCUUGUAAUCGUUUCUGGAAAUCUGGGGGCUUUAAUGACCUGAGGAGGAGUUUACAAUCUUCAGCUAUGCACAAUUUCCACAGGAAAGCUGAUUUAGACUUUUCAGUCUCUAAAUAUUUUUAAAAUGUAUGUUUCUGUCCAGAUUUCAACAAAACCAAGGGAAUCAGGCUAUAGUUUUUUUCAAGUAUAAUCCUGGGUGGAGGGUGGAGUACAGUAUUUAGACGAUUAGAUAAAAAGAUAGUAUCUCAUGACCUCAGUAUUUCUAAAUUCCUGGCUAUGGCCCUGUGUGUAGCAAAACCUCAUCAGCAGUGCAAGAGGAGAUAACUGCACCCCAAAAUAUCCCAGUUUUGACAGUGGAGGAAGACUUUCUGUACGAUAUCAGACAGCGAGCUGCCGAGCUAGCUGUUGACAUUUUUCAUUUUCACCCUGUCAGUUCAAGCUUCAAGUGGGUGUGGUGGUUAAUUUCCCGGGCACAUUGUGGGCCACGAGCAGCUGAGAUGAUGUGGGGCGGCCAGCUGGCAGCUCUGAGAGGAGCUCUCACACCAAAAUCGGUAAGCCCACAAGGUUGAAUCGAAUCAAUCAGUCAAAACAUAUUAAAGUAUUUUGGCUGUAUACUGCAGAUCAGCUAUAUAUAAAUAUUCAUUAUUUUUGUGAAAUGUAACCUAGAAUAUGGGUUACAUGGAUGAUAAUGUGUAAAAAUGCAUUUGUCCUGCAGUCGAAUCAGAAGUGUUUUUAUCCAUAAAGUUACUUGUUCAGUGCUGGGAAAUCUGUUAUUCCUGAGGCAAUAAAUAAAUACAAAAUUCUGUCUUCUUCUCUGGUGUGUACAGGUGUUUACUAUUCAACUUUAAAUUUA